GACGAACGCUGGCGGCGUGCCUAAUACAUGCAGGUAGAACGCUGAAGAGAGGAGCUUGCUCUUCUUGGAUGAGUUGCGAACGGGUGAGUAACGCGUAGGUAACCUGCCUUGUAGCGGGGGAUAACUAUUGGAAACGAUAGCUAAUACCGCAUAACAAUAGGUGACACAUGUCAUUUAUUUGAAAGGGGCAAUUGCUCCACUACAAGAUGGACCUGCGUUGUAUUAGCUAGUAGGUGAGGUAACGGCUCACCUAGGCGACGAUACAUAGCCGACCUGAGAGGGUGAUCGGCCACACUGGGACUGAGACACGGCCCAGACUCCUACGGGAGGCAGCAGUAGGGAAUCUUCGGCAAUGGGGGCAACCCUGACCGAGCAACGCCGCGUGAGUGAAGAAGGUUUUCGGAUCGUAAAGCUCUGUUGUAAGUCAAGAACGAGUGUGAGAGUGGAAAGUUCACACUGUGACGGUAGCUUACCAGAAAGAGACGGCUAACUACGUG
rnacentral:rRNA from 1 species